AAACACGGCCGAUUAUUUAUAAUUAUUGAGCUAAGAAGUGGGGCAGAAUAGAAUUGGCAAUCAAGAUUUUCUGGGGUUAGAGGUGUUUCAGUGUGCUUAUUACAUGUGGAGAUUUGGGAGGGUUGUUUGGAUGAGAUGAGGGAUGUUAUCAAAGUUGAUGAACUACUUGAGGGCCUGUUUUCGGCCGAGGUCGAAUCGAUAUGUUCAUAUGGGUUCAGAUGCUGGAGGUCGCCAAGAUGGGCUUUUAUGGUACAAAGAUUCAGGGCAGCAUUUUAAUGGUGAAUUCUCAAUGGCUGUAGUUUAGGCUAACAAUUUACUCGAGGAUCAGAGCCAGAUUGAGUCUGGCAAUUUGAGCUUGCAUGAGUCUGGUCCAUGUGGUACUUUUGUUGGUGUUUAUGAUGGACAUGGUGGGCCGGAGACUUCAAGAUUUAUCAAUGAUCACCUCUUUCAGCAUCUCAAGAGGUUUACUUCAGAGCAGCAGUCUAUGUCUGCAGAUGUAAUACGGAAGGCAUUUCAAGCAACAGAAGAGGGUUUUCUCUCUGUUGUCACCAGACAAUGGCCUAUGAAACCACAGAUUGCAGCAGUUGGAUCUUGCUGCCUUGUUGGUGUUGUUUGUGGUGGAUUCCUUUACAUUGCUAACCUUGGUGAUCAAAAAUACUGUAAAAGUGAUUUUAAUUGGUUAAAGUAACUAAUGUUGGUAGA